UACAGAGACUGCGAGCGUUAUUCGGAUUCACUGGGCGUAAAGGGUGCGCAGGCGGCCAUGUGUGUGAGGCGUGAAAGCCCGGGGCUUAACCUUGGAACUGCGUCGGAUACUGGAUGGCUUGAAUUCGGGAGAGGGAUGCAGAAUUCCAGGUGUAGCGGUGAAAUGCGUAGAUAUCUGGAGGAAUACCGGUGGCGAAGGCGGCAUCCUGGACCGACAUUGACGCUGAACGGCGAAAGCUAGGGGAGCAAACGGG
rnacentral:rRNA from 1 species